CUCUAAGUAGCCCAAGAAGAAAAGUGGGCAUAGAUUCGUUCACAUCACUGACAUGAACAGACUGGAAAGGCUUCAGGAACAACUCGGCUGAGAAAUACCAACAGUGUCCCUGGGGCUCCAGUCCUCUCUCUGUUGGCCUCGUUCCUUCAUAUUGGACCUUUGUGUGGAGUAUGGGGAAGGCUGACACCUCUAGGCUUGUAUCACCCAGGAUCGCUCAACACCAACCACUUAGUCCAUGUGGACAAAUCUGUCCAGACUCUCAGAAGAUACAAUUCCUGAGCUGGAGGGAAACUGUUUCUCUUUAUCUGGUCUUGUCCUCCACCCACAACCGUGAGAUGCAAGCUGAAAACUCACUUCCCAGACCUGGGGGACCUCUGCCCCUGUGUCCUGAACCUC